GACGAGGGGUCCUAGCGUUGUUCGGAAUCACUGGGCGUAAAGCGUAUGUAGGCGGCUUUUUAAGUCGGUUGUGAAAUCCCAUGGCUCAACCAUGGAAUUGCAUUCGAAACUGAAAAGCUUGAGUGUGGGAGAGAUUGGUAGAAUACCUGGUGUAGUGGUGAAAUACGUAGAUAUCAGGUGGAAUACCGGUGGCGAAGGCGGCCAAUUGGCCCAACACUGACGCUGAGAUACGAAAGCGUGGGGAUCAAACAGG
rnacentral:misc_RNA from 1 species